rnacentral:rRNA from 1 species
UACGGGGGGAGCAAGCGUUGUUCGGAUUUACUGGGCGUAAAGGGCGCGUAGGCGGCCACCGCAAGUCGAUUGUGAAAGCCCCGGGCUUAACUUGGGAAUUGCGCUCGAAACUACGUGGCUGGAGUGUGGCAGAGGAAGGUGGAAUUCCAGGUGUAGCGGUGAAAAUGCGUAGAGAUCUGGAGGAACACCGAUGGCGAAGGCAGCCUUCUGGGCCAACACUGACGCUCAUGCACGAAAGCGUGGGGAGCAAACAGG